rnacentral:rRNA from 1 species
UACGUAGGGUGCAAGCGUUGUUCGGAAUUACUGGGCGUAAAGAGUGUGUAGGCGGUGUUCCCAGUCUGUUGUGAAAUCUCCCGGCUUAACUGGGAGGGUGCAGCGGAAACUAGAAUGCUAGAGGGUGGGAGAGGUAAGCGGAAUUCCUGGUGUAGCGGUGAAAUGCGUAGAUAUCAGGAGGAACACCUGUGGUGUAGACAGCUUACUGGACCACUUCUGACGCUGAGACACGAAAGCGUGGGUAGCAAACAGG